rnacentral:tRNA from 1 species
GCCCGGCUAGCUCAAUCGGUAGAGCGUGAGACUCUUAAUGAGCCUCGUGUUCUGAUAGGAAAUCUCAAGGUUGUGGGGUAAGAGAAAAUUCAGCCAUUCGAAAUCUGCUCCGGAACCUGUUCAUUAACAACCGACUCAGUUCGACCCCCACGUCGGGCU